AGGUGCUCAUGACCAGAAGGGAGCAGUGGCUGCUCUGUGGCACUGUGGUCCUGGACCCCAAGGACUUCAAGUGGAGCUGCUGCAGAGACUUCUACCCCUUCCACCGCCCCACGCAGAGGUGCUGCCAGACCUGGGACAAGUUCAUCGUCAUCCACGGACCCCCAGAAGUCCGAGGCUGAGGACUGCAGGACGUACACCCAGGAAACCCCAGGUCCCAGAUUGCCAAGCGUGUGAUGGGAAGUCCCCUGGGUGUCCCGCAAGAAUGUCUGACUCCACAAGUAGUAACAGGAAAACCAGUGCGCAGACCCGUGCGCAUUCUCGCGUGCAGAUACCCGGACGCUGCA